UCCUACGGGAGGCAGCAGUGGGGAAUAUUGCACAAUGGGGGAAACCCUGAUGCAGCAACGCCGCGUGAGUGAGGAAGUAUUUCGGUAUGUAAAGCUCUAUCAGCAGGGAAUAGAAAAGAAGGUACCUGAAAAAGAAGCCCCGGCUAACUACGUGCCAGCAGCCGCGGUAAUACGUAGGGGGCAAGCGUUAUCCGGAUUUACUGGGCGUAAAGCGCUCGUAGGCGGUAUGUCAAGUCAAGGGUGAAAUCCCCGCGCUCAACGUGGGAACUGCCUUUGAAACUGGCAAACUGGAGUGUGUGAGAGGG
rnacentral:rRNA from 1 species